UGCAUAAUAAAGAGGCAACAACAGCUCCCUUUAACUUAUAUCGAUUAGUCCCCAUUUAAAUACACAAAACACAUGGACAUGUAAUAUAUGGAAAAUAUUACACUUAUUUACCUUUAACAACAUUAAGAGUCUAUAGCAUAGUGAAAGAGCACCAGCAUCUCAUGAUUGACACGGGUUUGCUUCUAAUAACAAUGGUCUCAAAGCCUUUACUUUUCCUAGGCAAGAUUCCAUUGCUGGUCGAAA
rnacentral:lncRNA from 1 species